AUUGAACGCUGGCGGCAUGCUUUACACAUGCAAGUCGAACGGCAGCACAGGGAGCUUGCUCCCGGGUGGCGAGUGGCGCACGGGUGAGUAACACGUAUCCAACCUGCCUUAUACUCGGGGAUAGCCUUUCGAAAGAAAGAUUAAUACCCGAUGUUAUAGUCUAACCGCAUGAUUUGACUAUAAAAGAUUUUCGGUAUAAGAUGGGGAUGCGUUCCAUUAGAUUGUAGGCGGGGUAACGGCCCACCUAGUCUUCGAUGGAUAGGGGUUCUGAGAGGAAGGUCCCCCACAUUGGAACUGAGGCACGGUCCAA
rnacentral:rRNA from 1 species